rnacentral:lncRNA from 1 species
UCGAAAGCUUCACACGGCAACGUUUGAAGGUCUGUCAAGAGGAAGAGGACUGGGAACAGAUCGAGAAACGACUCGGUUGUGGCCAGGUCGAGGAGCUCAUCGAGGAGGCUCAGGAUGAGCUCACGCUCAUCGGGAAAAUGAUCGGUCCGUACAUUCAAUUCUAUGUGGAUUAUUAUUAUUAUUAUUAUUAUUAUUUAAUAUAUUAGAAUGUGAAUAUUUUAGCUCGUAUUGAAUUAAAAAAUCGAUUUUGAAGAUGGGUUUAGGGGAAAUUUAACAAUUUUUUUGGGGGUUCAAAUAGGUUUUGGGUUAUUUUGUAAGAAAUGUAAUGUAAUUUUUCGGUACAGUGUACACUGGAGAACAGUGUAAUUUGAGCAACGAAUUUAUUUUUAUUUUUUGAUAGGAGCAACGAAGAAUUUGGUCUUGAAAAUCUUAGUAAACAUUUUAGACACUUGUGCAUGAACAUUGUAGGCAUAGCCUGCCUUCCCACUCAUGUUGGUUUGGCUGAUAUUGUCAAUAUAUUCUUGGUUGUUGUGCUUAUGGUAUUGAGGAAGAAUUGAGCUCAUGUUAGCUUAUUUUAGUCUUUUUGAGCCUAAUCCGAGCUUCCAUUGGAUGUUAGCUAACGUCGAUUGGUGUUGACAUGAUUGUAAGAUGUUCGUUUGAGUUUUACAGUUUUUAAUGUUGGAUUUGAGUCGGUCGACAGUGUAAAAACUAAGAAAGUCUUUACCUCUUUGUUGAACUUAUCAACAUUUCGUCCCAAUGAUUCUGUAAGUUUUUUUUUUUAAAAUCAAGCACUGCAAAUGGUUCAGGUGUUCAAUUUGACUAUACUUAAGUGAAUACGAUACUUUCUGUUAGAAAAGUCUCUCACUUUCUUUACAUUUGUCACGAUAGAAAGCUGCGGGAAUAAAUUUCCGCAUUUGACUUGGUUGCUUCAACAUCAGAGAUCUUAGUACUCCCAUUUUUAAGCAUGGGGCUAGUGUCUUCUAUUGCCUUUUAGUUCUUAUCAAGUGACUCAUCCAAAUAGAACUAAUCAGGGAUAUACCACAUUAUUUUAAAUGCUUACCCCGAGCACUUAUCAGUUAGCUCUGCCUGUAUGCUGGAAUGAUAAUGUUUUGUAUCAUUUUAUGCAUAAAAGAGAUCAUAUUUCCUUAGUAGUGACGUGUUUGAAAUUGCUAUGCUAAAUUGCAGAGUGGGAUCCUUGGGGUGUUCCUGAUGACUACGAAUGUGAAGUUAUUGAGAAUGAUGCUCCGGUUCCCAAGCAUGUUCCCCUGCAUCGACCUGGACCUCUGCCUGAGGAAUUCCAUAAGACGCUGGAAGCUGUUACCAAAAAGGAUCCUACUGCAGUCACC